rnacentral:rRNA from 1 species
AUGGUUUCCGCCGACGCAGCCCGCAACGUCGUCGGUAUUAUCGGGAAUGUCAUCUCCUUCGGCCUCUUCCUCUCCCCUACGCCGGUUUUCUGGCGGAUCAUCAAGGCCAAGGACGUGGAGGAGUUCAAGCCGGACCCCUACCUGGCGACGCUGCUCAACUGCAUGCUCUGGGUCUUCUACGGCCUCCCCAUCGUCCAUCCCAACAGCAUCCUCGUCGUCACCAUCAACGGGAUCGGGCUCGUCAUCGAGGGCUCCUACCUCAUCAUCUUCUUCCUCUACUCCACCAACAACAAGCGGCUGAAGAUGAUAGGCGUGCUCGCCGCCGAGGCGGGGUUCAUGGUGGCCGUCGUGCUCGGCGUGCUCCUCGGUGCCCACACCCACGAGAAGCGCUCCAUGAUCGUCGGCAUCCUCGGCGUCAUCUUCGGAACCAUCAUGUAUGCCUCCCCGCUCACCAUCAUGGGUAAGGUGAUCAAGACCAAGAGUGUGGAGUAUAUGCCAUUCACCCUGUCGCUGGUUAACUUCCUCAACGGCUGCUGCUGGUUAGCCUACGCGCUCAUCAAGUUCGACCUCUAUGUCACGAUCCCCAAUGGCCUCGGCGCUUUCUUCGGCCUCAUGCAGCUCAUCCUCUACGGCUGCUACUACAAGAGAACCCCCAAGGAGGAGAAGAGCGUCGAGCUGCCCACCAGCAACCCCGCCGGAGCCGGCAACGUCUCGGUCACCGUGGACAGAUAA